rnacentral:misc_RNA from 1 species
GGGUACCCAAGUCAAGCUUGGCGACAAAGAGUGCGUGCUCUCUUAUUUUACUCUGUUUUGCUGAUUUCAUCUGUUCAUUUUGUGCAUCUAGUAUAUGCCGGAGCUUAUAUAUGAGUGAAUGGAACAGUAUUUGCGUUAAAUAGAGUGUGUGUGUGAGUUACAAAGGAACAAGACUCUGUAAUGGUUUUAAAAUUUCCAGCGUCUGGUUGUGAUCUAUCUAUAAAAGAAAGGGUUGAAUUUAUAGUAGCUACGACUUAAUUUAUUUCUUCUACAUUUAUUAAAUCUUUGUUUAUUAUGUAAUGAGUAUUUUUUUGGUGUGUUUCUACAGGUUUUAUUUAUACAGGGAUGAGGACUUCUUGGGUACGCUACAUGAUAAUUGAUUGAUGUUGUUGUUGUUGUUAUUUUUUUGGGUGUUUGGAUCUUUAUUCAGGCGUGGGUUCCCAUGGAUGUAACUUAUAACAUUGAAGAUUUUUAAUUGAAUCAAGUUAAUCUACUUUAAAAUAUGAGAGUGAAUUUUCUCUUUGUUGCUUUUGCAUUGUUCUUGGCUUUAAUUAGUAUUGAAUUGUAGGCUAUAUAACGGAUCUGAUGGUUUCAUCUGAAGCAUCUAGGAUUAGAGGCAUAUUAAAUUUUGAAGAUUGUUGAUGGCCGGUGAGUCGUGAUCGAUGACUAUAAUUUAGUCAUGGUGGAAAUGACUAGUGUGGCCACUAAGUGUGGUUUUGACACUUUCAUAUGUCAGAAGUCUUCCAUUGUUACUGUCAGCAAUCCUUACAAUGCCUGCUCUAUCUUUUCUUAUGAGAAUUUCAUUUGGGGAUUGAAGGGCAUGAGUAAAAAAGAUAGAUGUUGCGAUCCUUGUGAAGUUAAUUUCAAGGCAGGAAUUUGCCUUGCUCAGUUUUGCUCAGUGUGCCUUGAUAUACUAGAUGAUAUUAGACUCUGAUUAACUUUGAAUGCCAGAAAUGUGUCAUCUUAUUUUGCUUUAGGUUUAUAUCUUAAUCUUACAGUCAAGAAAAGCUCAUAGCCGCCGCCUCCAUGCUUGCCCUCCCUGUCUUUCUGAUAUCGUUCUCAUGGUCAUCUUGUAGGCAAAUGAGUACUUAAUUCGUUGAUUCUUUUGAGAUUAUCUUUAGAACUGUGCGCACCAUGGAGCUCACCUCGGAGCCAAUUGAGAAUUUGACGGUCCUCGUCACAAAUUGCAUUAUUUGUGGUAGCGUUGGGUGGUGGGUCUAAUUCAUUUCUUAAGUGGGAGUCUCAAAAGAUUCGAAAAUGAUAGUUACAUUAAUUCCUUUCCCGCUUUGUCAAAACUAAAUAAUUAUUAGAGCCGACUGUUGAACAAGAAACAAGCAAUCCACUUUCUGAAGUCAGCUGAGAUUCAUUGUGCUCAUCCAAAACUCAAAGAGUAGAGAGCUCAAUUGGCUGGUCAUUGCCAUUGGAUUGAGAGAAAUAGAGGGAAGAGAAGAAAUUUUUUUAAAUUUCUUUGUUUGGGUAUCAAAUGGAUAAGAG